rnacentral:rRNA from 1 species
GUGGGGAAUAUUGGACAAUGGGCGAAAGCCUGAUCCAGCCAUGCCGCGUGUGUGAAGAAGGUCUUCGGAUUGUAAAGCACUUUAAGUUGGGAGGAAGGGCAGUAAGUUAAUACCUUGCUGUUUUGACGUUACCGACAGAAUAAGCACCGGCUAACUUCGUGCCAGCAGCCGCGGUAAUACGAAGGGUGCAAGCGUUAAUCGGAAUUACUGGGCGUAAAGCGCGCGUAGGUGGUUUUGUAAGUUGGAGGUGAAAUCCCCGGGCUCAACCGGGGAACUGCCUCCAAAACUGCAUGACUAGAGUACGGUAGAGGGUAGUGGAAUUUCCUGUGUAGCGGUGAAAUGCGUAGAUAUAGGAAGGAACACCAGUGGCGAAGGCGACUACCUGGACUGAUACUGACACUGAGGUGCGAAAGCGUGGGGAGCAAACAGGAUUAGAAACCCCUGUAGUCC